rnacentral:rRNA from 1 species
AUUAAACGCUGGCGGCAUGCCUUACACAUGCAAGUCGAACGGCAGCACGGGGGCAACCCUGGUGGCGAGUGGCGAACGGGUGAGUAAAGCAUCGGAACGUGCCCUGGAGUGGGGGAGUAACGUAGCGAAAGUUACGCUAAUACCGCAUAUUCUGUGAGCAGGAAAGCAGGGGAUCGCAAGACCUUGCGCUCUGGGAGCGGCCGAUGUCGGAUUAGCUAGUUGGUGGGGUAAAAGGCCUACCAAGGCGACGAUCCGUAGCGGGUCUGAGAGGAUGAUCCGCCACACUGGGACUGAGACACGGCCCAGACUCCUACGGGAGGCAGCAGUGGGGAAUUUUGGACAAUGGGCGAAAGCCUGAUCCAGCCAUGCCGCGUGAGUGAAG